AUGCACAGAACAGUGUUGCGGCAAUGAGAAGAUUGCCCUUCAGAGAUGCCAGAGCUAUUGCUGUAAUUGCCAUUGCCCGUUCUGCGGACCAAAAGUGUUCAAACCCACCAUGGAACUUCACGUGGUGGAGAAUCAUGUCUACAACCACUUAUCUUUGGCAGUACAGCAUGAAGACCGACAUGCCAUACAUUCGAGAGUGCUGGCUAAACCUAGUAUUGAAGUGCAUGAGCCAUAAAAGGGAAGCCUCAAGUAGUAUCAAGUGGUCUACAUGUAUGGUUGUCCCAAGGACCAUGGGAUUCUUGCGGUAUAAUGUCCGAGUCACUAGCAAUUGUACAUUUUAGUAAUGUUAACUCUCAGCAUACUGGUGUUUGUAUUCAUUGUACAGGGAGUGGUUUUUAUACGAUCUUGACUUCAACUGUGUCAGGAUCACCCUGUUAGUUACUUCACAAUGACAACAGACGGGCUGUUAUCCUUUAAUUUUUACCCACUACAUUCAUGUAUAUUAAAAACAAAUACAGAUCAGCCAGCCAGCAUCUGUUCUGGAGGACAUUUUUAUUGAUGUGAUUCUCCAGGAGGGUGACGAGGCAAUUCUGACACUGGCCCUGGUGUGCACUCGCUUCAGAGACCUUGUGACACGGGAAGCCUUCAGGAGAUGAGCCCAUUUUCUUUGGCUUGACAGUAAGUGUUCCCUAGUAGUUUUGCAUAACUUGUUACAUAUUUUUAUAUUUUAUAUAUU
rnacentral:lncRNA from 1 species